GGCAACAACUGUUUUGGUGACGUCAUGCCACACACCUCCUCUAUCCAUUCCACCAGUUGCGAAUUAAUCGACCACGCCAGUGGGGAGUACUGCAUCAUUGAAGAGCCUUCCAAAAAACUUUUUCCAGAACUGUUACCAGCAGUGGCAGCACCGAAAGCAGAAGUGUGUGAAUGCUGAAGGGAACUACUUUAAAGGUGCUAAUAUCGCGGAGAACUAACUGAUUCUAGACACAGUCAGCCUGAAAUUAGAAUGUGAGAAACUGGCUAGUGAGAAGACAGAGAUGCAGCGGCAUUACGUCAUGUAUUACGAAAUGUCGUAUGGUUUAAACGUUGAGAUGCAUAAACAG